rnacentral:lncRNA from 1 species
AGUGGCCAGUCCUCCAACAACUGGCCCCACUUGACGGAUCAGGGGAGGCCAGCUGCCUCCUGCAGCCAUCCCUCCAGCCCCUGCCUCUCUAAAAGGGGCAGCUCGCUGAGGACCAGAACCUCCCCAAAGACGAAGGAGGCCUCCAGAUGCCCUGCUGUCCAGAGUCCAGAGCUCCGAAAUCUCCUCUGCCGAGGGGUCAGUACUCUCGUCACUGUUGGGGACCCCCAGGACAGGGCCAUCAUUUCCAUCAGGUCCCCGUUUACUCCCCACCCCCUUUGUUCUGUGCAGACGUCGGAUGGCUCAUGGGGGUGACGAUGGAGUAUUGAGUGCCUCAGGCCGUAGACUGUCCUAUGGCCACGCACAUGGCCGUGACUUUGCAGAACAGGCCCACUAAGGGAACUGGGAAUGGGUCAGGGUCAGUGACAUGGCCAAGGCCACCUUUCCCACACCAGCCACUCCAGGGGCCAGGAGUUCAGUUUGCUUUCCUGGGGUGGUUAAGGCCACCAUAACGCAAAGGAGCAUUGAGUGUCAGUGGUGGACCAGACGUCAUUCUGGGAGCUGGCGAUUCACCGGUGACGAGACAGAGCCACUGUCCUCAAGAACUUGUACCUCAUGGGAUAAAGUGGGUGAGAGACACAUCAGCAACUUAGAGGGGAAUGCACCUCUGUGCAGGUCGGUGAUAAGGAGAAUAUAAAACGGAAUGACGAGGUCAAGAAUGCAAGGAGGGGACGCUUUAGCAGCCCCAGGAGAAACAACAGCACACUGUGCUCCCCUCGAGGAGCCACGGCCACGGAGCCCGGAUCUGACCAGUGUCCAGGUGGCUGCUGGCCCCCCGGGACCUUAGUCUCCGACCUUUCCCCAGUGUUGCCCUUGGAGUCCACCUGCCCCAUAGAGCAGCGGCAUCCACGCUGUGGGCCCGGGAGCAGCAGCAUCACCCGGGGGGUUGUGAGAGAGCCACAGAAUCCCACGGAAUCCUACAGACCUUCUGAAUCUGAAAGCCCAGGGGCGGGGCUUAGCAGGCUGUGUUUUAACACGCCCUCCAGAGGAUUCUGAUGCUACAGAAAGUUUGCACACUUGGAGCAAUCCUGGUAUAGAGCCCAAGCUGCUGGAUUCUAUACAUCUUCCUGUUCAAGAGGCAGGAAGCUCCUCCCAGUUCUGCGAGACCCCCCUCGCCGCCUGGUGUUCUUGGUGAUACACAUAGCGCUGGUGGGAUUUAACACCUGGACCCCAGCGAGGGUGAUGAGGGUGGUUGAUGAUGGGAGCAGAGGUUGGCAAAGCUCCUCGUUGCCCAGGCUUUUUCUUUGCCUGCAGAGGAGAAGGUACUGCUGGGCACACCUGUCUAACUGGGUCAAAAGGAUGUUCUCUGGGCCGGGAAUAAAGGUCCACAGGAUUUCAGUGAAUCGUCCCUUGGGGCCGGUGCGUUUGCAGCCCACUGGUUUUCUUCUGGUCCCUUACAGCAAUGCUCUCCUCUAUUAGCUGUGGUCCACCCCCACCCUGGCUCAACCAGCGCCCUUCCUCUGUCACAAAUCCAUCUGUGGGCGCUUGGAAGGUAACUCUGGUCCCUCCUUGGCCAUUCUGGAGCUUAAAUAUACAUUUCUAAUUGGCAUUGCCUAAGAGAAAGGCUGACAAGGAAUUGUGACAAGAUUCUGAAGUUGUGAAGCCACUGGUACAGAGAAGUUCUGCAGCCCUUGUGUGCACGGCCCCUCUAUCCAGGGGCUGCCCCCUUCCACUCUGGGCAAGGGCACCACCUUCGUUCCUCUAACAAACACAUGUGCCCGGAGCAGGAAGACCAAGGAACAUGAGCGUAGCCAAGGUGGCCCCUGGACGGCCUGAUUCCUGACAGUGGGCACCGCCUGCAAUGUGUCAAGACCAUAAAUGAAAAAGCCACAAGACUCAUCUUUCGGCGAGGUCCCUCAUGGCCACAGCAGAUUCUGCUUCCUCCCCUACGGGUUUAAUCAUGCCGAAGCCGCACACACAUGCACACACAUGCACAUGUAUGCAUUCAGGCAGAGUUUCCCUCCCGACCUCUCCUCCCCCCCCAGGACCAGCUCCUUGUAUUGGCUUCCUUGGGACCGCACAGCUGGACUGAAGCAGGGCCAGCAGCGUGACGGGGUUUUCUGAGCCCAGGCCAAUGUUCCCACAUUUUUUUUUCUGCCACGCCUGCAUAUAGGAUGGAACCCACACCACAGCAGCAAUGGCACCACAGCAAGAGCAAUGCUGGAUGCUUCAGCCACUGAGCCGCCAGGGAACAUCACCCCCCCACCACCACCUCCCUGGGCCACACCUGUUCUGAGUUGCCUCCAUCAUCUCUUCCAGAACAUUUAAGAAGCUCAAAGGGGGCAAGUGUCUGGGCUCUGGGACGCGGAGUUCUGCUCAGCCCAUCUCGGAGCCUGUGUCCUUAGCCCCUGGGCACCAUGCAGCCUUCCCUGGCAUCCCCUCAUCACCUCGCAGGAGAGGGUAGGAGGCGGACCUGGGAUGUCGGCCCGGCUCUACGGACUUGCCAGCCUGGAGCCUAAGAAGUUGGCAAUUCAUGCAGAGCCGGGAAGAGCUGGAGCGCUUGGUGCUCAAAGGCCCUUGUGCUGCAUCGUGAGAAUUCAGUGCCCAGUCCACGCUGCCGCCCGCAUCCUAUCCCCGCCGUGUGAAGACGAGAGGAAGGAAUCCAGGAUUUAAAUGUGAUACUUAAAUCACACUGCUCCCAGAAGGGGUGGGAAAGCUGACUGUACUUUUGGCAAGGUGUUGCUUUUUCAAAUUCCAUUUUUGUACUGUUUUUAAGGGAGGGUUUCAAAGUCGUAGCUGCCAAACCUUUAGAAGUACAAAGAAGCAGGAAAAAACCACCCAUAAUCCCACUAGCCAGAGGCACUUUUUCUUCUGGUCUUUUAUCUGCGACCUUCUCAUUUUUUUUCCUCCAAAACUGAGAUUAUGCUGCAAAAUCAUUACCGGUUCAUGCUUUUUAGUCCCACUUGAGGGUAUAUAAUAAGCAUUUCCUCUUAUAUUUUCUUGCAAAAGAUGACACAUCAGAGAGACAGCCUACAAAUUAUUUACUGAUUCCUUGUGUGUAAGAAAUUGAAGUUCCUUAGAUUUUUUUCAGUUAUAAAUACACUGCAUUGAACACCGUUGCAACUACAUCUUCAUCCUCAUUGGUGAUUAUUUCUGUAAACUGAAUGCCCUGAAAGGAAGUCUUGAGUCCAAGAUGAACAGUUAAAGUCUCUCGAGAUGUGUAGCUGGUCCGUGGUAAAGCACAGCUCCCAUCCUGAGCUUCGCACGCCCUGAAAUGGCUUUUUCCUUUUAUACUUUUACACAGCCCAUUAAGCAUUUGUUCUUCACUUCCUAAAUCGUGAUCGCUGCUUUCUCCCUGAUGUGGUUUGUCAUCUGGUUCAAGACCCGAAAUAGACGCACAUACAGAAAGUUCUAGAAUCACAGAGGUCAGAAGGGCCCUGAACAUGACCUGUUCUAACUUUGUUCGUCUGAUGAAGUCAGAGCAGAGGCCUGGGGAGGCAGGCAACUUGCUCAAAGUCACACAGUCCUGCCUUGGACUCUCUCAGCCCCUGCAGCUACCCCAGCCUCACCCCUACCUGGAACCAGAAGUUCAAGGAUCCCCGCAAAAGGAAGUGGCAUCCUGACCACUGUCAACGCCUUUCCUUUGCCUUCACUCAAGAGGGCCAUUGGUUGAGCCAUCAGGCCCUGCCUUAUGCCAAGGAGGCUCUGGGUCUGAGGACACUCAGCUGGCCCUUGCCAUCGGAAUCACAUUCCUUCCACAUAUGAAGCGGUUUCCUUCUUCAAGAUAUUGCAGUGACAUUCUGAGUGUGGCUUUUGCUACACCAGGGCCACCACUUUUUAGUGAGAACCUUGCUUUCAAUGCACUAACUACUUAUGUUUUUUUCUUCUUUAAACCAACAAGAAAUCACUUAUUGAAUACUCAUUAUCCAUUAGGUGGUGAAGAAAGGCCAUGUCAGGACACCGUGGAAAGACGGCCGUCUGUACCCUGAUCUUGGGCUUCCAGCCUCCAGAACUGUGAGAAAAACGAAUGUCUAGUGUUGAAGCCCCAGCCCAUGCUGUAUUGUGGUGGCAGCCUCGUGCUAAGACACCUGCCACCCGGGCAGUGUGGAUGGGAUGCUGCAGCCCCGAGGGAUGACUACGGCAAAUGUGGAUGCUCGGGAGGAGUUGAUGGAUGCGCAAGGAUGUCGUCAGAAAAAGCCAGGGCUUCCCGAGACCAGGGGCAGCUCACAGGAGGACACCGGCAAAAGAUUCUGAUGGGAACAAAGCUGGAACCACAGGGUGGUUUUGGUUUUGGUUUGGUGCCUCCGUUAAGAGCACCGCUGGCUGUCGAGGCAGAGAGGAAGUGGAACAGAACCCGAGCUGGGAAGGAGCUGACACGUAAUCCCACGGAAAUUGUGGAACAUCCCUUCUGCUACUCUUUCAGUCAUGCUGGGAGAAAGGGAGCUGCUCUGUAACAAGGUGUUUUGGCGUGUUCAUAGGAGGAGGUGGGUUCAGGGUCUUCCCACCCUGCCAUCUUGCCUCCUCUCUCAUGCACAUUUCCUGGCACGCUCUGGGUAAGAUAUUCAUUUGGGGACAUCAACAAAGCAAAGAAACAACCUCAGAGGGAGUCACUGGAAGCCACUAUUCACAGACAGCAUGAUGGAAGAAGCAGUGUCCCACAUAACGACACUUCCAGUGGUUGAUGAAUGGGAUUCAUAAAUGCAGAUGCAAAAGAUCUAUGUUGUCUCAGGAUCUGAAGUGCCACCACAUGGUGAAUAAUAGCUGCACUGCUGCCAUCAUCUUGCUGUACAAGAGACAAAAUCAGCCAGGAAUGGUGCAUUUGAUGAGAAAAAACAGGACCUGCAUAGGAAGAGAAGACGCAGAUGUCGCAAGUGUGCUAAUUGAACACGGGUCAUCCUCUCUGUCCAUUGUUCCAAACCUUCAUUGAUAAACCACUCUGUCCUCAAUUUCAAAAUACAGGUUUUAAUUAA